rnacentral:rRNA from 1 species
UCCUACGGGAGGCAGCAGUGGGGAAUAUUGCACAAUGGGCGGAAGCCUGAUGCAGCGACGCCGCGUGAGCGAUGAAGGCCUUCGGGUCGUAAAGCUCUGUCCUAUGGGACGAUAAUGACGGUACCAUAGGAGGAAGCCCCGGCUAACUACGUGCCAGCAGCCGCGGUAAUACGUAGGGGGCGAGCGUUGUCCGGAAUUACUGGGCGUAAAGGGUACGUAGGCGGCUAGGUAAGUCAGGUGUGAAAUCCAUGGGCUCAACCCAUGUAAGCACUUGAAACUGCUUAGCUUGAGUUAAGGAGAGGAAAGCGGAAUUCCUGGUGUAGCGGUGAAAUGCGUAGAUAUCAGGAGGAACACCAGUGGCGAAGGCGGCUUUCUGGCCUUGGACUGACGCUGAGGUUCGAAAGCGUGGGGAGCAAACAGGAUUAGAUACCCUGGUAGUCCACGCCGUAAACGAUGAGUGCUAGGUGUCGGGAGUUAAACUUUCGGUGCCGCAGUUAACACAUUAAGCACUCCGCCUGGGGAGUACGUGCGCAAGCAUGAAACUCAAAGGAAUUGACGG